UUUUUAUACUCUAAUACUUUAAUAUGCAAUGAAUAAAAGGGCAGAAAAAUCAGAAUUACAAUAAAUGUUAGGCUAUUUCAGAACACCAGUUUUUCACACCUAUUUUCUUAGCAUACAGAAGCUCAAAAAUCAUACAUUAAGCAGUUUGAAUUGUCCUGAAGUUAUAUUCUGAAUGGGCUGUAACACUUAAGAACUGGUAAUAUUAAAAAGGCAAAAGCAUUAUAACUCAUAGACAGCACACAAGACUUCUUACUUCAUCUAUAAAACGUGAGAAUGUCAAUGUUUUAUUAGCUACAAGGAUAAGGAGGGAAACAUCAGUGAAAUAAAUGUGAUAACAAGAUUCACACUUCAUUAUAAGUGAUUUUCCUAAAUUCACAACUUUCACAUUUGGCUGCGUGAAAGAGAAAAAAAAAAAAAAACUAAACUAAAAGGGAACUUUCACUACUUGUAAGUAGGCCAACUCACAUGAUCCCUCCAAAUGAGAGUUUAAAUGAGAAUGAGUACACUUUUCUAGCUGGGAAAAUAUUUUACUUAAUUAAGUGAGUUUAAAUAAUUUACCCAUGGUGAUGAAUAAGCCCUUGGGCUAGGCUCAGAAACCUCCUCUACCAGCCUGUUUCAUAAGAAUUACACUGAUAUUUUUAUAGGACAUACAUGAAAUAUUUGUUUUUUGGUUGUAAUAGUAGAGACAAGAAUUUUGUAGUCCUCUACAUAAGAAUCCAUACUAUUUCUGUCUUUCAGGUCUUUCUCCUAAAUGCACCUUCUGAGUUUCUUAGAUACGCCGUACAAUUACAAAGACCAUUUUACUUAACGGAUUAAUGUGUUCAUCAACUUUAGCACCCUAUGUAUGUGGUAAGAGUAAUGAGAACAGGGCUAUUUAAACUGCUUCCUCAUAUCCUUCCCCUUAAUUACCAGUAGUGAAGUUUACUUAGAAAACAAUGAGGAAGUCUCAUAGCCUACAGGCACCUAGGGAUGGGGAAUUAAUUCAGAGUGAGAAAAUAUGGCUCUGGAGAGAUACUAAAGUCGUAUUGGAAAUGUAUGAAGUCUAAAAGAACUCUUUCUCCUCAGCUUCAGACUUAGAUAAGGUGUGAGGUGUCAGGAAUGUGCAUGGACCCUUCAAAAACUGACAUUUUCAUCUGUGUUCUUCUGCCUCCCUCCCCCACGAAACAAAAUAUAUGGAAAUACAAGUGCUUGGUACUACAUGCCUUUGAGGCUUAAAAGCCCAAUAAUAAGCACGCUGUAUCCGUUGUUGAGGGGGAUAACUUUUUAAGUAAACAUCACCAGAAGAAUCUCUUCAAAUGGAGAAUGAACUCACUCUCCCUCCCUAGAGGCUAUGCGGGAAAAGGGAGACAGAUAUUCCCCCUACUUGCACGUGGGAUCUCCCUUUCUCCUCCGACCUCGCUACGUCUCUCCCACGCAGGUCAGGCUGCCUUGGGAGGUAGCUGGGAGAAAAGGCAACGCUCAGUCCUCCAUGGCAAAGUCUUUGGUCUUCUCCUCCUGGUCUCCCACUUUGUAGCGCAGCAGCACGCGCAGGCGACGGGGGUUGUCCCGGGAGGGCAGCAGCGUGAUCUCUCCUGAAACAUCCGUGUCUUGCUCCACUUGCACUGGCUCGUUUAGGUAGAGAAGCGCCUGUUUCCAGUGCGUGGCGGGGUGAAAAGGCGAGGUGGACAGCACCAGGGGUUUCUCCGACUCCCCUCCAGGGAAGGUCACCUGGAACCAGAUGGCAAAGCCAUGCAUGGGCGCCGAGCCAUAGCAGCUGCAGCGGAAGCGCCCGCCCACUCCGGCCUCCAGCUCCUGCUCCAAGCCGGCGCGGGAGAGCUCUAGUUGCGCAAAGCGCUGUGGCCGGGCCAGCACGUCCUCGCCGGACAAUCCCUGCACAACGAUCUCCGACCCGUUGAACCUUACCACCUCCCGGGCCUGUUGCCAGAUGGCGCUGGCCUCUACCGCGUACACGCGCCGGGCCCCGGCCUGGGCACAGAAGAUACUCAGAAUGCCGGUGCCCGCGCCCACGUCAAGUACCGUCUUGCCUCGCAGUGCUGCCCAGUUCCGCAGGAUACCCAGGCGGUAGGCAUCGGUGCGGACGCGGUCUGCGAUCAUCUCCUCGUGGACCGAAACGUCCGAGUAGCACUCAUAGUACAGCUGGUCCCGCUCCCGCUUAGUCCUCCGGGGUCGCUCCAGGGCCGCCUCCCGCUCCGCGCCAUCUUCCUCUUCAGCUCCCUCCCCUCCUUCGCCGCCGCCCCCCGACUCAAGCUUUCUUUUCUUGGGCUGCGACAUCUUGGCCGCUCUGGCCG
rnacentral:lncRNA from 1 species